rnacentral:rRNA from 1 species
CCUUGACAUGUCACUAACGAAGUAGAGAUACAUUAGGUGCUCGUAAGAGAAAGUGAACACAGGUGCUGCAUGGCUGUCGUCAGCUCGUGUCGUGAGAUGUUGGGUUAAGUCCCGCAACGAGCGCAACCCUUGUCAUUAGUUGCUACAUUCAGUUGGGCACUCUAAUGAGACUGCCGGUGACAAACCGGAGGAAGGUGGGGAUGACGUCAAGUCCUCAUGGCCCUUAUAGGUGGGGCUACACACGUCAUACAAUGGAUGGUACAAAGGGUCGCCAACCCGCGAGGGGGAGCCAAUCCCAUAAAACCAUUCGUAGUCCGGAUCGCAGUCUGCAACUCGACUGCGUGAAGUCGGAAUCGCUAGUAAUCGUGGAUCAGAAUGUCACGGUGAUACGUUCCCGGCUCUUGUACACACCGCCCGUCACACCAUGG